CUUUAAAAUAGAUGGAGCUACAAGGAAGCCCUACUUAUGUUUUGCAGUCAAGAAAUGGCCCUGUCUACGCUAUACAGGCUCCCCAUACAAUGGGCUGUAGAGAGAAGGAAUUUUCCUCACCUCUGCCCUCCAAAGCAAGUGGAAUUCUGGAUCCAAUACCACAGAAUGUCCAAACUAGAGGAGAAUACCGGAACAGAUAAAAAGGAUUUAUUCCAACCUACACAUACCAAAGAGGGCUGGUUUUGAAAGAAAUGAAACUUCUCCACUAUUGCACCUAACAACUAGACAGAUGUACCCUCUUAUGUUCAAGAAUAAAUGAAACAGAGAAGAUGCUUGCUAAAAACUGAAAGCAAGGUAAAGAUCGCUCCCUUUUACAGCAAAUCUCAACACCACAGCCUUUAUAGAAAUACAGAGGGAAGCAAAGAAAUACACAAAACACUAAAAUUUCACUGCCAUCUACUCGCCAUCCAGAUUUUUAUGGCCCUGAAAGUAAAAAGCCUCAUUUUAGAGAUACUUUAGAAGAGGUAUAAUAUGCAGAGAUAAUGGAUAGAAAUUUGAUUUAUAUAGAUUAGACCACCAUUCAUCUUGGUUACUUUCCCAAAUACGAUUAACAGUUACUCUUUACUCAUUUCAAAAAAAUGUAAAGUCUCUAUUAGAGGUGGAAGAUGUUGAAUAUAUGGGACUUGCUUUUUGUCAUGUUACACAUAAGGAUUGGAGAAAUUCCACCAUGAAGCUAUGGCCCACCCAGUGAAUUCAUCUUAAAAGAGGAAAAAGGAAUAUUUCUGCUGGAACUGAUUCCCAAAUAAAACUUUUUAAAUAUAUCUAUGACAACUACUAUAUUUUAUAGUCCUUAAAGUCAAACAUUACCUAUAUUUAAUAAUUCAAAAGAUUCUUUACUGCUUGAAUUCCUUCAUGGACUGGUUUGCAAUGAUCUAACAGGGCUCAAAGUUUUUCUUCAAACCUACUGUCCUCAUUAAACAUUUUGAAUGGAAAAAAUUAUAAAUCUGAUGGUCUUUAAAAAAUACAAUUGAAGUUGGAGAGAAAAAAUAAAAUUCAUAGUUUUAUUUGGAUUUCAGGCUAUCCAGAAGGCAUGUUUUAAUAUAUGAUAAAAGUUAGAAUAUUCUCAACUUGGCUUUUGGGGACUUUAAAAAAUAAUGCUCGUAGCACAUUUUGUUUCAAAUCCUAUCAAGUUCAAGGGAUUUUAUUAUGUUCAUUUCAAAACUGACUCAUCAUUUUUUUAAUAUGCUAAUUCAAUUUAUUGGAAAUUAAUGACGCUAUUGACUACCUGUAUUCUGUCAUUCUGUACACUGCCUGGUGCAAUCUAAAGAGCUACGUUAGGCUCACCCAUGAAUCCUGGCAUAUCACCAAAUGUGAUACCCUACACUUGUUUUUUUUUAAAGUCAUAAAUCUCUUGCUGCAUAAAGUUUAGACAACAGGAUUAUUUUUAUACAUAAAUUGCAUGUUUACUUGUCUUUCAAUUAUUGAAAGAGCAUAUAUAGCAGUGGUGGGGUUAUACA